rnacentral:rRNA from 1 species
CUGGCUCAGAUUGAACGCUGGCGGCAUGCCUUACACAUGCAAGUCGAACGGCAGCACGGGUGCUUGCAUCUGGUGGCGAGUGGCGAACGGGUGAGUAAUACAUCGGAACAUGUCCUGUAGUGGGGGAUAGCCCGGCGAAAGCCGGAUUAAUACCGCAUACGAUCUACGGAUGAAAGCGGGGGACCUUCGGGCCUCGCGCUAUAGGGUUGGCCGAUGGCUGAUUAGCUAGUUGGUGGGGUAAAGGCCUACCAAGGCGACGAUCAGUAGCUGGUCUGAGAGGACGACCAGCCACACUGGGACUGAGACACGGCCCAGACUCCUACGGGAGGCAGCAGUGGGGAAUUUUGGACAAUGGGCGAAAGCCUGAUCCAGCAAUGCCGCGUGUGUGAAGAAGGCCUUCGGGUUGUAAAGCACUUUUGUCCGGAAAGAAAUCCUUGGCCCUAAUACGGUCGGGGGAUGACGGUACCGGAAGAAUAAGCACCGGCUAACUACGUGCCAGCAGCCGCGGUAAUACGUAGGGUGCGAGCGUUAAUCGGAAUUACUGGGCGUAAAGCGUGCGCAGGCGGUUUGCUAAGACCGAUGUGAAAUCCCCGGGCUCAACCUGGGAACUGCAUUGGUGACUGGCAGGCUAGAGUAUGGCAGAGGGGGGUAGAAUUCCACGUGUAGCAGUGAAAUGCGUAGAGAUGUGGAGGAAUACCGAUGGCGAAGGCAGCCCCCUGGGCCAAUACUGACGCUCAUGCACGAAAGCGUGGGGAGCAAACAGGAUUAGAUACCCUGGUAGUCCACGCCCUAAACGAUGUCAACUAGUUGUUGGGGAUUCAUUUCCUUAGUAACGUAGCUAACGCGUGAAGUUGACCGCCUGGGGAGUACGGUCGCAAGAUUAAAACUCAAAGGAAUUGACGGGGACCCGCACAAGCGGUGGAUGAUGUGGAUUAAUUCGAUGCAACGCGAAAAACCUUACCUACCCUUGACAUGGUCGGAAUCCCGCUGAGAGGUGGGAGUGCUCGAAAGAGAACCGAUACACAGGUGCUGCAUGGCUGUCGUCAGCUC